rnacentral:rRNA from 1 species
AGAGUUGAUCCUGGCUCAGAUGAACGCUGGCGGCAUGCCUUACACAUGCAAGUCGAACGGUAACGCGGGGCAACCUGGCGACGAGUGGCGAACGGGUGAGUAACGCAUCGGAACGUGCCCAGUAGUGGGGGAUAGCCCGGCGAAAGCCGGAUUAAUACCGCAUACGACCUACGGGUGAAAGCGGGGGACCGUAAGGCCACGCGCUAUUGGAGCGGCCGAUGUCAGAUUAGGUAGUUGGUGGGGUAAAGGCCCACCAAGCCGACGAUCUGUAGCUGGUCUGAGAGGACGACCAGCCACACUGGGACUGAGACACGGCCCAGACUCCUACGGGAGGCAGCAGUGAGGAAUAUUGGUCAAUGGGCGCAAGCCUGAACCAGCGACGCCGCGUGGGGGAUGAAGGGGCUUUGCCUCGUAAACCUCUGUCGGAUGGGACGAAAGGUGGCUUUGAGCCACUGGGACGGUACCAUCAAAGGAAGGAUCGGCUAACUACGUGCCAGCAGCCGCGGUAAUACGUAGGAUCCGAGCGUUGUCCGGAGUUACUGGGUGUAAAGGGUGCGUAGGCUGUUCUGUGCGUCAGAGGUGAAAUCCACGGGCUUAACUCGUGGGGUGCCCUUGAUACGGCAGGGCUUGAGUACGAGAGAGGUGCGUGGAAUUCCUGGUGUAGCAGUGAAAUGCGUAGAUAUCAGGAGGAACACCGGUGGCGAAGGCGGUCAUCUGGCUCGUAACUGACGCUGAGGCACGAAAGCGCGGGGAUCAAACAGGAUUAGAUACCCUGGUAGUCCGCGCCCUAAACGAUGUAUGCUUGGUGUUGGACCCGCAAGGGUUCAGUGCCGAAGGGAAUCUGAUAAGCAUACCACCUGGGGAGUACGAUCGCAAGGUUGAAACUCAAAGGAAUUGACGG